AAAUGCGAUAAGUAAUGUGAAUUGCAGAAUUCAGUGAAUCAUCGAAUCUUUGAACGCACAUUGCGCCCGCCAGUAUUCUGGCGGGCAUGCCUGUCCGAGCGUCAUUUCAACCAUCAAGCCCCCGGGCUUGUGUUGGGGACCUGCGGCUGCCCGCAGGCCCUGAAAACCAGUGGCGGGCUCGCUGUCACACCGAGCGUAGUAGCAAUCACCUCGCUCAGGGCGUGCUGCGGGUUCCGGCCGUUAAACAGCCUUACAAAACCCAAGGUUGACCUCGGAUCAGGUAGGAAGACCCGCUGAACUUAAGA
rnacentral:misc_RNA from 1 species